rnacentral:rRNA from 1 species
AUGGCGGCGGCGGCGCCGGCGGCGCCCGUGGCGAGUCAAGCACAGGCAGUUCUGCGCGGCCGGCUCUGCGACCCGGCCUUCGUCCACUCCCGUCUCAGAUCCUCGCCCGACACCAACUACAGUAAGCUGAAGUACCUCGUGUCCAGCUCCGUCUCCGAGGCCUGCAACAACUCCGUCCUCCUCCUUGGACCCCGCGGCUGCGGUAAAGGAGCGGUGCUCGACAUGGUUCUGGAGGACCUGAAGGAGGAACAUCCUGAUGCCAUAUCUGUGAUCAGGCUGAAUGGCAUGUUACAUAGUGAUGACAACUGCGCUACAAAGGAAAUUGCCAGGCAGCUGUGUCUGGAGCAUGAGUUGUCAUUUUCCAAAAUGGCUUCUUCAGAUGACAACACUGAAUUCAUGAUUGACAUGUUACGAGAGUGUGGACUAGCUCACAAGACAGUAAUUUUUGUCCUGGAAGAGUUUGAUCUCUUUGCUCAGGGGAAGCAGCGGUUACUCUAUAGCUUACUUGAUGCAAUGCAAUCUCUUACAUCACAAGCUGUUGUCAUUGGUAUGAGUUGCCGAUUGGAUGCAGAUCAAUUGCUAGAAAAAAGAGUUCGAUCUCGCUUCUCUCAUAGGAAGCUUCUUUUUGUUCCUUCUUCAUUGGAUGAUAUACAGAGGUUAAUGGAACAUCUGCUAAUGCUAGACAAAGGCUCGUGCUUACCUACAAACUACGUUACGGAGUACAAUUCAAUGCUUACUAGCAUUUUCAGCAAUAAGAAGUUUAAAGGAAUUCUUGACUCUCUCACGGAUACAGAUGCAACAACCAGCAACAUCCUGAGAUUUCUCUUCAGAGUGGUGUCAUAUAUGGAUAUGGAAUCUGGACUUCUGUCAAUGGAAUGCUUUACGAAUGCGCUUUCCUCCAUGCAGAGGCAACCCAAGAUGGACAGUUUGCAAGAUCUGUCGAUUUUGGAACUGUACAUACUUGUAUGCAUGAACAGACUAGAAGAUAAGGAGCAGAAGUCGUACAACUUCAACACUAUAAUAAAAGAAUACAAAUCCAUACAGGAUGCCUACAAAACUUCUGAUAAGUAUGCAACCACUGUUUGCUUCAGGGCUUUUGAACAUCUUUUGGACCGCGAGUUGAUCACCUUCGCGGACUCAAAAGGGAGAAAUGUGGCACUUGAAUAUCGGCCUGUCAAACUUCUGAUAUCUUCUCGCGAGCUCGCACAGUCGCUCAAGUUAAACACUACCUGCCCCGCUGUGCUGCAAAAGCUGCUUGACCGUGAAAGAUAUAUGUAG